rnacentral:ncRNA from 1 species
UGUCUUUUUGGGUGUAAAAGAUUUUAAAUUUAAUUUUGGUUAGUUAUUUAUAUAAAUAUUUAUUAUAUAUAUGAAAAUUAAUAAAUUGUAAUUUUAUAGUAUAAAAUUUUAAUUAUUUAAGUUAUUAAGAUUUAGUAAAAUAUAUUAGUAUUAACAAAAUUUGUGCCAGCAGUUGCGGUUAUACAAUUAAUGCAAUAUAAAUUUUUUGGUUUUAAUUAAUUUUUAUGUUUUUAAAAAAAGUUUUAUAUUUUAAGUGAAAUUUAAUUUAUUAAUAUUUUAUUUUUUUAUUAAAUGAAGUUAAAAAAUUAUUUUAAUAAACUAGGAUUAGAUACCCUAUUAUUUUUAACGUAAGUUUUAAACCAAAUGAUUAAUAGUUAAGUUCUUUAAAGUUAAAAAAUUUGGCGGUAUUUUAGUCUUUUCAGAGGAACCUGUUCUAUAAUUGAUAGUCCACGUUUUAAUUUACUUUAAUUAGAAAUUUAUAUAUCGUUGUUAAUGAAAAUUUUAAAAGAAUAAUUUUCUAAUUUUUUUUAAAAAUUUAAAUCAGAUCAAGGUGUAGUUUAUAUUAAAGCAGAAAUGGGUUACAGUAAAGUUAUUUUUGGAUAAAUAAUUUAAAAUUUUUUAGAAAUUGGAUUUGAAAGUAAUUAUAUUAAAUUUAAUUUAAUGAUUAAGCUCUAAAAUAUGUACAUAUCGCCCGUCGCUUUCGUUUUAAAAUGAAAUAAGUCGUAACAAAGUAGAUUUACUGGAAAGUGAAUCUAGAAGAAC